rnacentral:rRNA from 1 species
GACGAACGCUGGCGGCGUGCUUAACACAUGCAAGUCGAACGGAAAGGCCCUGCUUUUGUGGGGUGCUCGAGUGGCGAACGGGUGAGUAACACGUGAGUAACCUGCCCUUGACUUUGGGAUAACUUCAGGAAACUGGGGCUAAUACCGGAUAGGAGCUCCUGCUGCAUGGUGGGGGUUGGAAAGUUUCGGCGGUUGGGGCUGGACUCGCGGCUUAUCAGCUUGUUGGUGGGGUAGUGGCUUACCAAGGCUUUGACGGGUAGCCGGCCUGAGAGGGUGACCGGCAACAUUGGGACUGAGAUACGGCCCAGACUCCUACGGGAGGCAGCAGUGGGGAAUAUUGCAAAAUGGGCGGAAGCCUGAUGCAGCAACGCCGCGUGCGGGAUGACGGCCUUCGGGUUGUAAACCGCUUUCGCCUGUGACGAAGCGUGAGUGACGGUAAUGGGUAAAGAAGCACCGGCUAACUACGUG